AUUGAACGCUGGCGGCAGGCCUAACACAUGCAAGUCGAACGAGUGGCGGACGGGUGAGUAAUGUCUGGGAAACGGCCUGAUGGAGGGGGAUAACUACUGGAAACGGUAGAUAAUACCGCAUAACAUCAGAUGUGCCCAGAUGGGUUGAGCGUGUUGGUGGGGUAACGGCUCACCAAGGCGACGAUCCAUAGCUGGUCUGAGAGGAUGACCAGCACCACUGGAACUGUGACACGGUCCAGACUCCUACGGGCGGCAGCAGUGGGGAAUAUUGCGCAAUGGGCGCAAGCCUGAUACAGCCAUGCCGCGUGUAUGAAGAAGGCCUUCGGGUUGUAAAGUACUUUCAGCGGGGAGGCGUUACCCGCAGAAGAAGCACCGGCUAACUCCGUGCCAGCAGCCGCGGUAAUUC
rnacentral:rRNA from 1 species